rnacentral:misc_RNA from 1 species
AGUAAAACAGUACGUGAAAUUGUUGAAAGGGAAACGCUUGAAGUCAGUCGUGCCGGCGUUGGAUUCAGCUUGCUUCGCGGAGCAGGCGUAUUUCCGCGCAUGGCAGGUCAGCGUCAGUUUUGCGCGGCGUGAAAAGGCUCGGGUAAGGUAGCUCUCUUCGGGGAGUGUUAUAGACCUGGGCAGAUGCGCUGCGCGGGACUGAGGAUUGCAGCGGACACCCCCUCGGGGGCGCGGCGACCGAACCCUGCUCGGCCACCCUCGUUCGAUAGCGUGCUAGCGGACGCGGGAGCGGCAGUGCACCGGAACAGGCAAGCCAGCUGUUCGCUAAGGAUGCUGACGUAAUGGCUUUAAA